AUUGAACGCUGGCGGCAGGCCUAACACAUGCAAGUCGAGCGGGGUUUUCGGACCUAGCGGCGGACGGGUGAGUAAUGCGUAGGAAGCUGCCCGAUAGAGGGGGAUACCAGUUGGAAACGACUGUUAAUACCGCAUAAUGUCUACGGACCAAAGUGUGGGACCUUCGGGCCACAUGCUAUCGGAUGCGCCUACGUGGGAUUAGCUAGUUGGUGAGGUAAUGGCUCACCAAGGCGACGAUCUCUGGCUGGUUUGAGAGGAUGAUCAGCCACACUGGAACUGAGACACGGUCCAGACUCCUACGGGAGGCAGCAGUGGGGAAUAUUGGACAAUGGGCGCAAGCCUGAUCCAGCCAUGCCGCGUGUGUGAAGAAGGCCUUCGGGUUGUAAAGCACUUUCAGCGAGGAUGAAGGGUGGUGUGUUAAUAGCACAUCAUUUUGACGUUACUCGCAGAAGAAGCACCGGCUAACUCUGUGCCAGCCGCCGCGGUAAGAC
rnacentral:rRNA from 1 species